GAAAUGCGAUAAGUAAUGUGAAUUGCAGAAUUCAGUGAAUCAUCGAAUCUUUGAACGCACAUUGCGCCCGCCUGUAUUCUGGCGGGCAUGCCUGUUCGAGCGUCAUUUCAACCAUCAAGCCCCCGGCUUGUGUUGGGGACCUGCGGCUGCCCGCAGGCCCUGAAAAACAGUGGCGGGCUCGCUGUCACACCGAGCGUAGUAGCAUACAUUCUCGCUCAGGGCGUGCUGCGGGUUCCGGCCGUUAAACGACCUUCAUAACCCAAGGUUGACCUCGGAUCAGGUAGGAAGACCCGCUGAACUUAAGC
rnacentral:misc_RNA from 1 species